rnacentral:rRNA from 1 species
CGGUGAACACGGAGCUUGCUCUGUGGGAUCAGUGGCGAACGGGUGAGUAACACGUGAGCAACCUGCCCCUGACUCUGGGAUAAGCGCUGGAAACGGCGUCUAAUACUGGAUAUGUGACGUGCCCGCAUCGUCUGCGUCUGGCAAGAAUUUCGGUUGGGGAUCGGCUCGCGGCCUCUCAGCUCCUUGGUGAGGUAAUGGCUCACCAAGGCGUCGACGGGUAGCCGGCCUGAGAGGGUGACCGGCCACACUGGGACUGAGACACGGCCCAGACUCCUACGGGAGGCAGCAGUGGGGAAUAUUGCACAAUGGCCGCAAGCCUGAUGCAGCAACGCCGCGUGAGGGACGACGGCCUUCGGGUUGUAAACCUCUUCUAGCAGGGAAGAAGCGAAAGUGACGGUACCUGCAGAAAAAGCGCCGCCUAACUACGUGCCAGCAGCCGCGGUAAUACGUAGGGCGCAAGCGUUAUCCGGAAUUCAUCGGGCGUAAAGAGCUCGUAGGCGGUUUGUCGCGUCCGCCCGUGAAAUCCGGAGGCUCAACCUCCGGCCUGCAGUGGGUACGGGCAGACUAGAGUGCGGUAGGGGAGAUUGGAAUUCCUGGUGUAGCGGUGGAAUGCGCAGAUAUCAGGAGGAACACCGAUGGCGAAGGCCGAUCUCUGGGCCGUAACUGACGCUGAGGAGCGCAAGGGUGGGGAGCAAACAGGCUUAGAUACCCUGGUAGUCCACCCCGUAAAC